UUUAAACACCUGUAAAAUCCAUGAUUUUUGAAAUUUUGAAAAGUUCUUUUGAGAUACGUUCUAGUAUCACUAAAGACUGCAACAUACACAAAUUUGAACAAAAUCAGAGUAACUGGUUCAUUUAGUGUCCGAUUUUACCUGGAAUGGCCCUGUUUCCAAUAUUUCAAUAUUAGAAAAUUAUAAAAUGAAAUAAUCUUACGUUAAAAUUUAAAAUUAUUCAUGUUUAUACGUUUCGUAUAAAAAAUCGAAAAGAAAAAUCCGAAGAACAUCUUCUAAUGAGAGUACCUCCUUAUUAUUACCAACACAGUUAAUUACACAUUACAUUCUUUAAAUCUUAUAGCAUAAAACUUUUGUAGGAACAUCUAAAAGGCACAAUAUAUACUGAUAUCGCAUACUAUUUCACCAGUAAGUAAUUUUUUUAUAAGAUCUGAAACAAAAUGAUUAUAUAGUUCUAUGCGAUUUUUAAUGAAACAUUCUACGCAUCAUGUAUGUAUGUACAGAAUGCUUUAUAUGCAGUUGCAUGUUCAGAAAGUUAAAAUAGUUGUGUGAAAAAUAAGAUGGUAUUUGAUAUUUUCCUAUAAUCAUUGUUUAAAAGACUCAUGUAUUAACACUAAACCUACUACAACCAUUCAAAUGAUCAUUUUCAAACUUCUGUAUAGAUCUUAUAUGAAAAAUAUGAAUUAUAUAUACAAUUGUUUUGUGCAUUAUACAAUGUAAUACCAUGUGAAAGUUUUUCUGCAAUCAUUUGAAAAAGUAUACAUACAAUGAAACAGUACAAGUGCACAAGACGUACAAAUGAAACGUGAUUUCAAUGAUUACGGAAAAGCAGAAAAAUAAAAAUUAUUAAGAUAAACUACCAUCUUUUUUUUAAAUUACUACAGAGAGUAAGGUCAUAAUAGGAGAAUCAUAAUACAAAUAUAUAAGUUUUUUCCUGUAAAAUUUAAUGACUUAUAUUUUAAAAGGAUCGGGUUGAGAAACAAUCAAGCUCAUCUUAUUUUGGGCGUCACAAUUUCUUCUUUCCUGGAUACAUCAUAUCUGAUGAAAUACUUUGCAUGUAUAUAUACUGCUUUACAUUACAGAGCUGAUACGUCUAAUUUGCGAUUACAGUAGAAUCUCCGUUACACCUGUUAUUAGAUAACGAUUAAUUAUAUGAAUGGUCUAUGAUGUAUAUUUUCUAUUACAAUACUGUGUGCACGUAAUUGAUAUUAAAAUAUAUACAAAAUUAAAUUUGAAAGACUAAUAUACUAUGAAAACACAUGCCUGAUUAAUUGUAAAAAAAAAUUUAACAUUGAAGAAAACGGGGAAAAAACUUUUGUGGUAAAAAAAAAGAGCAAUAAUCAAGCACAUAAUUCUAACAAAGUUAUUUGCAAAAUAUUUCAAUUAACUUCCAAGAAGUAAAUAGCCAAGAUAAUAACAAUGGCAGCGCUGGUGAAGAUGUAUUACUUCAUCUCGAGGCAUUUACAACAUUCGAAGGUCUUGAAUGAUUGAAGAGCCGAAGGAAAUGUAAUAAUACAGAACUAGCUGUAUUCAAAAAAUGUAAAUUAAUUUAAUUGCCAACAAAUGUGGGAUCCAUAUGGUUUAUUCUUUGAUAUCAUUAAAAUGAAGGAGUAUUUAACAUUAUUUCUUUUUUAUUUUGUAUUCUAUAUAUGAAAUUAUCUACAAUAAAAUUUUAUUCAUUUUAUUUAAUUUUGUCUUAAGUAUUAAGUAAAAUGAAGUGGUAACCACUUGUUCUAUUAUGUGAAAAUUUUCUUAUCUGAACACUUUUAUCCCGCGAUUACUAUACAUAACGGAGGUUCUACUGUGAUUGUAAAAUUUCUGUACGAAACAAGGUAAAAGAGAGAGAAUUAUAUUUACAAAAUCAAUCCGAGUCGAAAAGACACCAUUUUGUUACAUAUUUCACUAACUAAUUACUUGAAAACUAUAUUACAUUUAAAACAUACAGGUCACGUAAAAGGAUUUAUUUCUACGAUUGGUUCAUAAAUCCGUGGCAAUUUAUUUCAAUCAAAAUUCUGUA